CUAAUAAGAAUCAAGUGGACUUAAUUUUCAGUUGUUUAUUUUUAUUUAUUGCCGAGAGUUUUCCGAACUGCUGGUACUCGAACGCUGCCGCGCAUUCGAACACAGUGAAGGUGACAGUCGGCUCCUCCGUUCCGUACACCGAAGGAGCAAAGGAUUAGCGCAAAUCUUGUUCCAGACAAUUUGAAACGAAAGGAUUUCCGCGCCGGAUCUGAAGCUCCCGCUUUGUGCACACACACACACACACGCGCGCACGUGUACACAACCGCGCUCCUCCGUAACACUGGUUCUACCGAUACUGAAUUACGUCUUUUUGUUUGGUUUCACAUUCAGCAGCAAACGUUGUGCCUCCCUCCACACAUUGCUCGGAAGUAAAACACCAUUUUCGACAAAAGAAAAACAACGAAAGUCAAAUCCUUGCCGGCCUUCCCGUUUCGCAGAGGCCUUCCCGCCUCGGUUGCCCGUGCGUUCGCCGAGCGUCAAGCGAGAAUCGGAGAGUUCGGGGGCACGUUUGACGGUUUCAGUUGCAAAGCGUUUUGUGCCGGUCGCACCAAAAUGUUCAUCUAAAUUUCAUUUGAUUUAAUUUUAAUUAGAUUUCUAUGUUUAACUAGCAAAAGCUACACACACGUACACGGUUCGGUACAUAAGAGAGCCGUCUGAUGUGUAUCACAAAGGCACAUCCGAUAUGGGAAAAUUAAGUUCAGUCGAGGCGGCGGGUCGGGGUUGCAGCCGCCAACGCUUGCCAAAACAUUCCGAACGAAUCCGAUCUUUGCCAGUGAAAAUUGGAGCCGUUUUUCCGAUGGAUGGUCCUUAGCUUUCUUCCCUCGCUGUGGAAACGGGCAGGUGAAGCAAGGGGUAUGGAAGGCACAACUUUGCUAAACUAAUACUGGGGCGGCACUCAUUUGUGUCAUAAUCGACUCGAAGAACGAUUAGCUUUUCGGAGGAGAAGCUUUUCACUGAGGUUCCACUCAUCUCCUUUGCAUGUUCAUGGUAGCUAAUAAAACAAAAAACAAACUCUUAGCUAUUUGACUUGGACCCCAAACUCGCACCCUCUGGCAGUUUUCCCGUGGCCUCCCGUGGCGAACUGACUACCAUCGGUCGGUCGGUGGUAAAUAAUUGCAUAGCUAGCUGCUAUUGGAAUUAAAACUUCUCCGAUCACGAAUGCACGAAUUUGAAUAAAACAUUAACAGCCUGACUUGCCGCUCACGGAAUGUUGAUGCUGGGCCAUGGAUGAUUGGAUAUGUGUUGAAAUUGCUAUGACCGUGAUGCACUUAUACAUCACUCACACAUACACACUCACACUCAUACACUCAGUAUGAAUGAAUGAAUUUAGAGUAGUACGUUUAGGCUAAAAGUCUGGUCAAAUGGUUACGGAAACGAAAGAAUCAAAGAUGCCAACUCCUAGUUUGAACCUGAAAUCCUGUACAAGAGCCACUAGCUGCUUCAUUGACUAGUCGGAAAAAUCGUAAUCCUGCUUUGGCCAAGGUAAAUAGAGGCUGUUUACCAUUUCGCCAUCUGAGAACAACGCGCGGAGUAUUGGAUUUAAUCCAUGUACACUGCAUACACACAUAACGUUCCUCCUUCUGGUUUGGGUUGAAUUUUUCCGUCCCUUAGUAUCUAGGCGAUGAAUACACUACCACCACAAAUCUCGUGUGUCGUUUAAAGGAACAGGAGCAGCAGACAUGCAGAUAGUUUGGUUUGCAAGACCUCUUGCUGUUGUCUAUUGCGCGACGCCGCAUCCAAAUGGUUCGUUGUAGGACUAUCAUUUUGCUCGAUUUUCGGGAAUUCGUAGAUACAACUUUCAUCCCCAGCCAGUGCAUACCGCUAACCGGCGGGUGAGGGAAGUUGCACACAAACCUCCUUUCAAAAUUUAUUCUCCCGCAUAUCAAACUGCAAAAUACUACUGCAUAGCUAUUAUUAAGAGAUUAUAAAAUUUUUACAACAAUCCGUACCCCUUGGCCCCAACUGGAUCGAGAGCUUUACCCUGCUUUGAGGAAUCAGGAUCAUGCCAAGGUGAUGGGCAUGGACCUUGGCGAGAUUUCUGGAAUUCUAUAAGUUUGUGUUGCAAACACAUGCGACCUUUAAUAUCGAUGAGAUUGUACUGCUUUAGUGCAAGAUUUUAAUAAGGACAACGUCAUUUUUCACUUGCUUUUGUAAAACUUGUAAAAUAGACUUGUAUCUUCAAACUGUGACCAUUGGUAUGCAAGCUACAACAGUUUUCCAAAUGACAUCGAACACUCAGCCCCAUCCGUUCCAUAUUCAUAGCGUAUUUAUGUUGUUGCAUAGGAUAAUCUUUUAUUUCUUACGGAUAAAACGAAUGAAAAACAUCCCGAAAGGACACGAAUUUUGGACGCUAGUCCUAAAUGCACGCUACCAUACCUUGCCAGGCGAACUGUAUCUGAUAUUGCUCGGGGUGUCCUCCUCUCCCAGGUACAAUACGCGCGCACACGUGUACUCGUCUUUUAGGGGGAAGGUUAGGUAAAUUUUUGCAACCAUCCAAUCCAAAAACCAAAGCGAUAAGCGCCGGCGACCACGUGUGUCCAGCGCAGAAACACGGACACUGGUAAACUCGGUUCAGAAGCGACUGCUGCCCAUGAAGAAGCACCGGUGUUCUGCAAAUGAAUCCAUUAGGAAUCUGAAAGUGAUUAUUAUAAUUUUCGCGAAGGUUUCGGCUCGCCGGUCCACACCGUUCCAGCAGAGCGUGUUCAAGCGCGAGGUUUUCUCGGGUUACCGUCCUGUCCUACCGACAGGACCUCCCUUCCCCCCUGGUAUCCUCAUGCACCCAUCAAAGAAGCGGAACCCAAAGUUACGUUCGCUUAAUUAUUUAAUCAAAGCAAAUAUAUUAGGUGGAAAGAUACGGAGUGGAUAUGUGUGCGCGGACUGACCGGACCCUAGCCAUGUUUGCAAUGUACGGCGGCGGCACCGUCGUGCGUGGAUCCCUUUUGCUUGAAUUGGUCCUUUGGUCCAGCGGAAAAGGAUCCAUGACGAUGGUGCCGACCGUGAGUGUUGCAGCCGCAGCACCACCAAGGAAGAAGAAAAAAGUCUCCCGAAGCCGAAAAUCGUUUCCCCCAAAAACCCUUUGGUGUAGGGAGUUUUUGGGUAUGCCGGGAAAUGCAACGAUGGGGGUAUUGGGCGGAUUGUGGAGGGAGAAUAGCGAGAAUCCUUUUAAUAUUUUAUUACAUUUUAUUUGUCCGCCCAUAAUGUACGGCUUAGGUACGCGCCAUGCAUGAGUUUUGUUUCUUCCAUUUUUUUUUUUGUUCAUUUACCUCACCUCAACCCUUGAUUUUCGCCCGCGCCCGUACCGAGACUUUCCUUUGGGCAAGUAUAAUUUAUGUCCAUUUAUCGCAAGUCCGUAAAAAUCGUAAGUAACCUUUCGUUUGCACACUGGCGGCGAGCGUCCCGGUCGGCGGGGUCCUGUUCGCAUUAGACAGUCAUGGCCAGGGUAUGGGGUCCGCUGCCGAUGGGUUCCUAUUUCAAACGAUAACCCACCUUCACUAAGGUCCCGGCCGCACAAAUCCGCCCAAAAUGAAAGGAUCAUGAUGAUCAAACGUAAUGGAAGUUUUUCUUUGAUUCCCGAAAAAUCUCUUUCGCAUUCGUGGCAGGUAGUAGCCGCUGCGCUGGGCUACAUGUGUUGAAGCAAGGCCAAUUUCGUGCCAAUUCCACGCCACGAGAAAAGGGUCCCAUGGUCGUCCGUGUGGCACAAUCUAGCUACUUCCCAUUUCUUUUCCAACGCAAACAUGCUUUGCGGCCGAGCUGUUGGAGCGAAGGCGAUGGAGAGUCGCAGGGCUGCAGUCAGCGGAUCGGCUGUGUUCAAAUAAAUCAAAAAACACCACACUCGCUGAUGCAGCGCCAUUAAAAAGCGAUUAAAAGCCAUCAUCUCACGCAGUUCGUCGGUUAUCCGGUCGUUCGGGCCUAACUGUGCCUAGUAUAAAUAUUUAUUUCCUGCUACCACCACAAGUAACGAAAUCAUAUUAAACGGAAAGGUUUCAGCCUCGGCGGUGUUCUAAACCGCACUCCGGCCCUCGCAUGGACUGGAUUGAAUUUUUAAGGACGAAAGCCGUAUGGGUUUCUCGGAAUUCCGCGUGUAUCGCGAAUUCCCCACGGUGCGUCACGAUGCGCAAUUAAACACAAACGGUGUCGCAUAUUUUUAUAACUAGCUGCUGUUGCUGCCUUUCACUGCAGAUAUUUUGUCCUUCGUUUUUAUUUUUUCCCCCAUGCUCAACCUUAUUCGUAAAGCAAUGUGCUCCGCUACUCCAGGCUGGUCAGGCUGGUGCCAUAUGAACGCUGAUUUCCUUGAACCUGGAUCCUUCGCUUCCGGGGCGUUGGCUUUCUUACGCGAGUGGCCUGGGUCCCUGUGCGAAGCGAACCUAUGGAGUAUCCUUUAAAAACGGUAUAAAACACCGAAAAAAGCUGCCCCCUCUCUCUUUUCUUUCUACCGUUGCUAGCGGAUGGCUCCUCACAAAGUGACAUGAAUUAUAAUAAUGUCUUUACCUGACUUAAAACUUCGCUAACUAAUGUGUUCAGUUUGAAAUUUAUAUUCCAAAUUGUUCGCCACACUACCCUCUACACCGGUCACGAUGCUCGGCACCAGUUUGCGAUUAUUUCUGUCCGCCUUGCGCGAACCCGGUACCGCGAAAUCAUGCUUUAAGAGUUUGUUACCAUAAUCUGAGACAAAAAGGAAAAAAUAAACUCCAUGCACAGGUUUUACUCUUAUUCUCUAAGAAUGAGAGCACCUCCUAUAGUGGCAAGAGUUCGUUACCAGAUACAGCUGAAGGCUCAGUUAACGCGUUCAGCCAAUGCAUAAAGGCCAACAUACUAAUAAUAUGCUAAUGUAAUGAAACAACGGACCAGUAUUAGUACGAAUGGCACACACACCCAUACCGAGAUCAUGCUCAUCGAAAGGACAUAGGAGUAAUCGUCCUCAUCUUUCGUUAUCAGCAUCACUUCCUCGGCCAAAAACAUCAUUUCACUCUUCGUUCGACAUCACUCUCCACUCACGCGUAAAAUGCGGGUGAAUAGCAUGAAAGCAAAAUGAAAGCAUUUACUACCACGUGGCCCUUCCACCUGACAUCCGGCAUCCGCUAAAGCACCGUGUACAUGUAUCGUUUGGCGCGAGUGAAGAAGCCACCACCAAACAUCGAUGCCAUUGGCAGCAUUAAGGCCCAUCACCGCGCACCACUGAUGGCAACCUCCAGCCAGCCAGCGUUAACCCUUUUGCUCGUGAUAAUAACGGGUCGUCGAGGUGGCAUCUUCACUCCGUCUCCUCACUUCCGGUCCCCCUGUUCUGUGUACUGGCAGGAGUUUUUAAUAAAUUUUUAAAGGCUUCUCCACUAAGCCUUUGUCACCUUGCCCAAGCCUUUUCGAGCCGGUCGUACCUUUCUACCUUUUCACCGGUCGUGUUUUGACAGAUUCAACCAUCAACCGAGCGAUAAUCACCUUCAAAAUUCAUGCUACGCUUGUUUUCGCUUUUGAUAAGUGAUAACUACCCCGGCCCCGGCCCGUUCAUUCGCUGACACACCCCGUGUCAUGUGCGACUCAGGUUUUCCGAACUGUAACUGAAGGUGGAAAGAAUUUCUGUCAAGCUUUUGCCAUUUUUUACAUUCCGCGGAAAGCACGCGUCUUAUCUCCACAGGAAAAACCUGUAAAAACUCACGUGAAUCGUGUGACCUCCUUCCUUCCUGCUGCUUGCGGCGUCUUACCCUUUUAUUUUGUUCUGCAAACGAGAACGCUCACGCAUGCAGGAAUCUUGUCAGAAAAAUGAUCAGUUCAGAGGCGACACGUGAAACGUCCUGGCACACGACGCGGGUGGGCAUUUUAUCAAACACGAUACACCUAUUCCUUGCCGUUGCCAUUGUCGAUCCGCCGCGCUGCUGCCACGUAGACAAACAAGGACACUGCGAGAGAAAAAUAGGAUUCAAUUAAAAAUCUUCUUCCCGCAGGGUGAAAAGAAGUCAUUUGUAAACAUGAAAUUGUUCUCGCCCUGUUCCAUCUGCGAUCUCCCUGACGCUGGUGGUAGAUGCUGAUGCGUGUGUGAUGUCGCGUGUAUCAUAUGCGUGGAAAAUGUGAUUUUGUGGGUUCGGCUCGACACACCGGGUUGGCUUCGGCCGGGUCACCGGGAGUUUGACUGGUAAAAGAUCAAAAGAAACGAUUCGCGAGACCUUUUCCUUCGGGGCCGUAAACCCAUCUCCGCGGGGACGAAGAAACACGACAGGAAACGGGACGGUUGGAAGGUGGGAACUUCAGAACGGCACGACGGAAGCCAAAUCUCUAAUCUAUGAUUACCAAACGACAAAACUUUAAAUUAAAAAUAAUGUCACGGAUCUGCGAACUCAUUUCUUUUCGACUGCGUCGUUCAGGCGCGAAUAUCGCACAAGAUUUUCACCAUCAUCUGCCCCGGCCUACGAUCCCUGCUAGGUGGAAAAUUCUUCUAAUGUGGGAUCAACUGUGCAGCGCGGGAUUGGGGUUUAGGUGAGCUGGAAGAUGGAAAUCAUAUUCAAAUUUUUAUCCAUCAGUCAAACUUUUUCCUGACUUUUCACAUGUGUGUGCGUGUGCGUAUAUGUAGCUUGUCACCGGCGCGGAUUUCAACGGCUAGCUCAUACACACGGGACCUCAUACUUUUCCAACGCGCGCGCUGUUCCCUCAAGGUGGCCGUUUGGACAUGGACGCUUUCGUGAUUCGAAGGAUGAAAACCGACAGGAAAACGGGACACGACAAGUUGAAGAACUGGUGGCUUAAAAUUCAAAGAUAAAUGAAACCGGACCGCGCCCGCGACAGCCACACAGGACCCCUUUUCUUCUCCCAGGGCCGCUAAUUAAAAAUAAUAUUUUCGUUUAAUUAUAACAAAUAACGGACAGUGGAUGUAAUACAACGUACGACGCAACCGCAAACCACACCCGCAUCCGCACACGUCCACGCGCUUCCUCGGUCCCCGAUUCACAAAUGGUCAUUAUAAUCGUCCAGAGGAUUUAGUCAACCUACUGUGGACUUCUUCCCACACGAUGGUUUCGAUGUUUGAUGCGUUUUCUUAGGCGACUUUCGUCUUCUUCUCUUCCUUGAAGUCGAUUUUGGACGAGAUAUCCUCGCCGGAUCGGCCUCCAAAAGUUUAGAGUCCUUCGGGAACGGCCGGAAAGGAGGCGCCAUUGACUGACGACGAUUGAUGACGAUUCGUCCGCAUACAGUGGUACGCAUAAAUUAAAACCUUUUGCCAAUCUGCUCCACCGAGACCGUAUUGCUGGCGAGAUUCUAAGAUUAACUGCCUGCAAUAUGUUUUCGGACGUGUUCGCCUUUCUUGUGCGAUUUGGAGCGUAAUUUUUGUGUCAAAACGUGGAAUAUGGAUAUUAUUUAUUUUGUAAAAUGUAAAAUGUCAGUGAUGAAGGUGCAAGCGAUACAAGUGAAAAUUGUACGAAAUUUGCAUGCCAUAUGUUGGUAAGGCGGAGAUUGCAUAAUUUCCAACGGAGUCUAAGUGCCUUCGGUUAUGCUUCUUUGAUUUUACGCUUCGUUUACCAAAGUGACGUGUCUUUUAAAGAUUACCCCACGAUCGAAAGGAUUGUGUCCUUUCCCUUAUCAUUUUAUCUUUUUUUUUUUCAUCUAUUCAGUCACCCUCAUGUCACGCAGAGGCUAAUUAAUUACAAUCCAUGUGCCGCCUACCACGUUUAUGCCUGUUCCCGUUGCCUGAAAUGACAAAUUCGGGAAAAAGUGACGCUGCAAGCGAACGGUGAGGACUGGGAACCAAAACAAUAAAAUAAAAUCUCCGCGAAAGGGUUCAAACAAGCCGGUUCAAAUUGAAAAACAUAAAAAAUCACAUCUUUUUCGAAGGACCGUCACCGAACGGAUAAAAAAUCGACACCAGCAGCAGAAGUAUCGAGCUUGCGACGAAGCGACCAGAGGGACAAAGAUGAAACGAUAGUAUACAAAAAAUUAUCUCCAAGAAACACGACAAGGAAAAAUUACAUGCAAUUUACACACAUAAAACGCGCACGGCAAGGAUGACGGCGUCGGUGACGGCCACGGCGGCAAAGAUUCGUCCCUCAGCCCUCACUGCGUUGAGGAGAACACAAUCCGGAAAAUGGCCUUCAGCAAUAGUGGUGACCAAAAAAAAGGAAAACAAACAGCCCACUUGUGGGAGAGCCACGUUCACUUGCCGCCGACCCCAUAAAGCAAACGCGAAAAGCUGCGUUCACCUUCAAUGUCACCCUCGAUUCCGGUUCGCACCGAUUUGCGUCCAAAUUCCGUCGGCUUAAAAAAAAAAGGGGUUCACUAUGGGAAGUUUUAGUUGUCCACGAGAAUAUGUCCUGAAUAUAUACGGGGCGCAGUGCCUUGUACAUUGUAUGGGAUUUGCUCUGUUACUUUCCUUUUUUAACUAGUAUUUACAAAUUCAACAAUUUCUACGAAAUGUGAUGCGUUCUGUUAAGUUCAGGAUUUUAAUAAAAAAGGGCAUAUAGAAAUGUG